UUGUCAGUAGAGGGAGCCAGAGAACAAGACUUCAUUCAGGGACCUGCUGGUGUCACAUUGUGGUACAUGUUGAGAGGGAACUCUGUCCUGACCCGACUGGAGUACUGGACCAGACCAACUCUGGUGCCAUGAGUGGACACGUCCAGGGAGUCCACAACCUGCAGCACAGGAGGAGGUCAGAGAUAUUCAUCUGACACAGACUGAUCUCAGACCGAUGAUGAAGCUGACCUCCUGCUCCAGCCGCUGCACCUGUUGGUCCCGCAGAACCCACAGGAUCUUAAUCCUUACAGAGUGCAACCGUACAGCUGAUUUCAUAUGCAACAGAUCAUGAAUCGGAGAGUCGACUCACUGCCGCAGCUCUUGCCGUCCUCCUGCAGCAGUUGUCCCUCCGGACAGAUACAGUAAUAAGAUCCAGGAGUGCUCACACACUGGUGCUCACAGCCGUGCUCCACCGUGUUACACAGGUCCAUGUCUGCAAACACAGUCAGUAAACACUGAUUAGAUCAUAACUUAUACAUUCAGCCUGCACAGACACAUGAAACCAGUGGUGGACAUAAAGUCACGCAUGUAAUAUAGUUCCGUUCUUUACCGUCAACAUGAGAAAAGGACGACAAUGUGGCGGCUGAUGGAUAAUAACAAGAAUUCAGCUCAGUUCUGUUUAGAGACUUUUUUCAGUCAGUUCAACUCCAGAGAGGUUAUUAAUAUAAAUUCAGUGUCGGAUGCACAGGCUCACUCAUUAGUCAGACAGCUGUUUCAUGCAGUUUGUAUAAUUCUGAAGGUUUUCUUCUCAGUCAACCUAUAGACAAACAAAAUCAUCCUGAGGUAGAUUUUAAAUCAGGGAUAAAACCCUGAGAACACAUAUAUGACGAGCCGAAAGCUGAAAGAAUAUUUGUGAGUGUGAGCUUCACUGACUUGUGCAGGUCUUCUUGUCCUUGUUGAGUUUGAAUCCUUUGUUGCAGUCGCAGGUGAAGACACCAGGAGCGCUGAUGCAGAUCUGCUCACAGUCGUGCUUCCCCUCGGCACACAGAGUGUAUCCUUGGUUGCAGUCGCAGGUGAAGACGCCCGGCGCACUGACGCAGAUUUGUUCACAGUCGUGUUUCCCCUCAGCACACAGGUCAAUGGCUGAAUAACACACACACAUACUGCGUUAAAGUGUGUGUGUGUGUGUGUGUGUGUGUGUGUGUGUUUUGAGGACAUUGUCAUUUUAAUGCUCUGGUAAAAAUAGAUUUUCCAGGGGAAAGUUUUCAGUGCCAAAGAGUUUUUCAGUUGUUGGAUGCAGUUUUAACAGCGAGUCCAAGCAGAAGGCAGGUCAGCUGCUUCUACACUCGUCCGUCUCACACACAUUUGUCUGUAGUUCUGUUGUUGAUAGUUGAUUUAAAUGAAAACAAACAAGUCAUUUACUCGAAUAACUAAAAUCAUGUAUUUGUUUUGAUUGAAUUAAUGUUGAUGUAAGAAUGAUAUUCUGUAAAAGACGAGACUAAGAAACGCUGAUGUGGGUUCCAGUCGCUUUAUGCAAAUGGAAAAUGAUACUUCUAGAUGCACCUGGAGGGAUUUCUUUUAACUGUGUGUGUGUGUGUGUGUGUGUGUGAGUGUGUGUUGGUGUGUGUACACCUGUGUAUGUGUGUAACUGCAUGACGGCCCGACUAACGUGUGCAGGUCUUCUCGUCCUUGUUCAGAGUGUAUCCUUGGUUGCAGUCGCAGGUGAAGACGCCCGGCGCACUGACGCAGAUUUGUUCACAGUCGUGUUUCCCCUCAGCACACAGGUCAAUGGCUGAAUAACACACACACAUACCGCGUUAAAGUGUGUGUGUGUGUGUGUGUGUGUGUGUGUGUGUGUGUGUGUGUUGACGAUAUUGUCAUUUUAAUUCUCUGGUAUAAAAAUAUCUUCCAGGGAAAUGUUUUCAUUUCUUUCUCUUCAUGUAAACGAGCCAAAGAGCCUUUUUCAGUUCCUGGAUUCAGUUUUAGCAGCGUGUCCACACAUGAGGCAGCUCAGCUGCUUCUACACUCGUCCGCAUCACGCACACUCAGGGGAACCAGCCGUAUUACAUUUCUGUUUAUUUCUAGAAAUUAGAGGAGGAUCAUGGAAACCAUCUUCCUUUUUCUUCAGGUGGAUUCCUUUUUUAAUAAUAACUGUGACUCUCAGAGGGACAACAUGCGGACUGUUACUCAUCAUCUUGUUUACCUAAAUGAGUGUGUAUUCAAAUGUAAACCAGCUGUUUUCAAGAAGGCCAGAACAGCUGAAGCAGGAGGCGGUGAUGUUUUAUUUCUCCUCACAUACCUGCUGUGGUAUUUGGGUUAAACUGGGCGACACAAUUACACGAUGUGUUACUUUGAAGAUCUGUGUGGCUUACAGCGAGUCUUUGGUUGUAAAUUGUGCUUCUUUCAUAGUUUUCUGUCAACAAGAUCUCGUACAGCAGGUGUUGCUGCCUCUGAGUGUGUGUAUGUGUGUGUGUGUGUGUGUGUGUGUCUGUGUGUGUCAGGGUGCAUGCAUGAAUAUGUACUGACAUGUUGGACGUGUGUAUUCAACUGCAUACAUCAAGCUUGUGUGUGAGCGAGACUUUAGAAACCCUCUUUUGUUGCUGCAUUUAAAUGAAAUGGGUUUGCAGAAAAUAGUUUUUAUUCGGAAAUGAGCUUCCAGGAGGGCUGAGGCUUUAGUUGUUUAGUUAAUGAUAAACAUCAUCAUGACCACAGAAACACUGAGUUGUUUCUGUGAAGCAGGCAGAUUACUGUUAAAAGUCUUUUAUAUAAAUAUUGAGGAACAGAAUCAGUUUUCUGUUACAGUUGUAGUUUCUGUCAACAGUUUAAUCAGAGGUAAAGUCACAGCUGUUUGCAUGGCAACAGUAAAAACAGCAGAUGUUUUGUGACAUCAGCAGACCUGUAAAUAAAUACGUUUUCAACAGGGAUUAUGAUUUUCAAGAGUUCUUGUUUUCUCAGGUAAGAUGCUGCAGUUUAAGCAGUUCAGAUGUCCUAGCUGACAGAAUGACAGAAUCAGUAGCACCCUCUUUCAUUUCUUGACUUUGUGACAUCACAUUACAUCACCAUGUCACACUUUUGCAUAAUUUUUGCUUAGUUUGGCAUGUAAGAAUUAAUUUAGCACAGCUGCCUUGUUGUCAGCGACGCCGGCUCAGGCAUCUGUCAGCUGACCAAUCAGGAGAGACUGGGUAUUCGGGGGGUGGGGCUUAAAGAUACAGGGGCUAAAACUUAAACUGGACAUGUGUUCUUUGAGCAUUAAAGUGUGUAAACCUAUUUUAUUAGAAACCAAAAAUAAAAUGAGCAGAAUAUGUCUGUUUGGUAUUCUUAGCCUUGGCCCGUUUACUCACUGUUUAUUGCUCAGGUUGAGCAUGUUUAUAAUGGUGAUGCAGUCAAAAGAUAACCUGGAGCAUUUGAAAAUAACGGAGAUUUUAAAUGGUCCUGUGACGACCCUCAGAUAAGAAGGGGAAACAGACAGCGGACAGGUGAAGGAGAGGGAGCCAGUAAAUCUCAACAAAGCUUUGUUUAAGAUUCACAUCAACAGCGUUGUAGCCAGAGAUGGAAAUACUUCAAAUGUAUCUCCUGAUGUUUCCAGACAGAGAGAGGAAAUGUGCAAUGUUUCUCUGUUCUGAGGUUCUUUAGAGAAUUUAAACUAAAGACUAAAUGAUCCUAAUUGAAUGAUACAUGUGUGUUCAAGGCUCCAGCAGCAGCAGCAGACAACGUAGUUCUGUUUUAAUCUGUAUCAUUUACGACGACUCAUCUUUGUACUACUCACCCUGGCAGGUCUUGCCGUCGUCCAGCAGCCUGUAGCCGUCGUUACAGCGGCAGUGAUAGCCGUUGAGCACACUCACACACUCAUGAUCACAACUGUGGUUCCCAAACGAACAGUAGUCGAUCACUGAGGGGAGGGAAGCAGCGAGGCCGUAAGCAGCAGAGCAAACAGCAGCGAAAUGUGCGGGAUCAGUGCAUCUAUGUUCCCUCUGUGUCUCAGGAAAUCUUACCUGGAAUGAGCCGGGGUUCUUAAAGGAACAGUUCACCCCCAAAAAAUGAUUUUGUCAAGUCACCAUCUCCUCACUGUCAUGUUGAUGUAAAGUCAGGUGAAGUGUCGUAGUCCACAAAACGUUUCUGGAGCUUCACAUCAAAACAUCAUGCAGCAGUCACCUAAACAACUGAAGUAGCUGGAGACUUUAUUUAAAACAGCAAAAAUAAUCCAAAAAAUCAUAAGAUGACUCUGGCAUUGGUCUCUAGAAACCCUGAGAUCCCAAAUGUAUCUGAGAAGAUGUUUUGUACGUCCUUGACACGUGGCUGAGCUCAUGCAAGGUCUUCAGACUGCUACAGUGAAGAUUCCUGCAGGACAGGGGUGUAAAUAACAUCUUCUCUGAUCAAUUUGGGAUCUUGGGGCUUCAGGAGACUUUGAAUACAACCAGCGAGCUGUAUGGAGCCUUUUUAUGUCUCUGGUUGUUUUUUCAAUUUUAAAACAAGUCUCCAGUUACUUCACUUGUUUCGGAGAAUGCUGCAUGAUGUUUUGCUGUGAAGCUCCAGGAACGUUUCUUUGGACUAUGAAACUUCACCUGACUCAGAAGAUAAAUGAACUGUUCCCUCAAGUCGAUGUGCUAUUAAAGCUGCAUGACUCAUUUGCUUUUAAAGUAACUGCAGACGCAAAAUUACAAUAAAAGUUUUUCCAGUUUAAUAAUUACAACAAGGCCAGCAGACUGCAGAUUAUAUGAAGGUUUUUAAAAGAGGUUCUUCUGAUUGUGUCCAGUUGAGGGUUUUCAGCUGGAUGUAAAGGAACAUAAAGGAUGUGUUGUUUAACAAAUCCAAACGACAGCAGGAGGAACAUAGUGCAGACCCACACUCAGCUUCAUGAAGCAGCAGAAAUCAAGUCUGAGCAGCUCAAAGGUCAGAAUCCAUCUCAGCAUGAAUUCAAGCACAAUUUGUAAUACAAAGCCAGCAGCUAUCAGCAGUUACUACAGUUUCUACAGGUGUUUGUUUAUUUGUGUCUUUUGUGCAUGCUUGUGUGUGUGUGGUGUGUGUGCGUGUGUGUACGUGUGUGAGACUAACUGGAGCAGGUCUUCUUGUCGUCGUUCAGUUUGUAUCCCUUGUUGCAGUCGCAGGUGAAGGAACCUGGAGAGCUGACGCAGAUCUGUUCACAGUCGUGUUUCCCCUCCGCACACAGAGUGUAUCCCGGCAGACAGAGGCAGUGGAAGGAGCCCGGGGAGCUCUCACAGAUGUGCUCACAGCCGUGGUCCGACUCCAGACACAGAUCCAUACCUGCAGCACAGAUCACGUCAACCUCAGAGUCCAAAAUACACG